rnacentral:rRNA from 1 species
GAUGAACGCUGGCGGCGUGCCUAAUACAUGCAAGUCGAGCGAACGGACGAGAAGCUUGCUUCUCUGAUGUUAGCGGCGGACGGGUGAGUAACACGUGGAUAACCUACCUAUAAGACUGGGAUAACUUCGGGAAACCGUAGCUAAUACCGGAUAAUAUUUUGAACCGCAUGGUUCAAAAGUGAAAGACGGUCUUGCUGUCACUUAUCGAUGGAUCCGCGCUGCAUUAGCUAGUUGGUAAGGUAACGGCUUACCAAGGCAACGAUGCGUAGCCGACCUGAGAGGGUGAUCGGCCACACUGGAACUGAGACACGGUCCAGACUCCUACGGGAGGCAGCAGUAGGGAAUCUUCCGCAAUGGGCGAAAGCCUGACGGAGCAACGCCGCGUGAGUGAUGAAGGUCUUCGGAUCGUAAAACUCUGUUAUUAGGGAAGAACAGAUGUGUAAGUAACUGUGCACAUCUUGACGGUACCUAAUCAGAAAGCCACGGCUAACUACGUG